rnacentral:rRNA from 1 species
GAUCCUGGCUCAGGACGAACGCUGGCGGCGUGCCUAAUACAUGCAAGUCGAGCGGACAGAUGGGAGCUUGCUCCCUGAUGUUAGCGGCGGACGGGUGAGUAACACGUGGGUAACCUGCCUGUAAGACUGGGAUAACUCCGGGAAACCGGGGCUAAUACCGGAUGCUUGUUUGAACCGCAUGGUUCAAACAUAAAAGGUGGCUUCGGCUACCACUUACAGAUGGACCCGCGGCGCAUUAGCUAGUUGGUGAGGUAAYGGCUCACCAAGGCAACGAUGCGUAGCCGACCUGAGAGGGUGAUCGGCCACACUGGGACUGAGACACGGCCCAGACUCCUACGGGAGGCAGCAGUAGGGAAUCUUCCGCAAUGGACGAAAGUCUGACGGAGCAACGCCGCGUGAGUGAUGAAGGUUUUUGGAUCGUAAAGCUCUGUUGUUAGGGAAGAACAAGUACCGUUCGAAUAGGGCGGUACCUUGACGGUACCUAACCAGAA